AUACGAAGGGGGCGAGCGUUGUUCGGAAUCAUUGGGUUUAAAGGGAGCGCAGGCCGGUGUGUAAGCGUGACGUCAAAUACAGCCGCUCAACGGUUGUCCGCGUCGCGAACUGCACGCCUUGAGUACGCUGCAAGUGGGCGGAAUUCGUGGUGUAGCGGUGAAAUGCUUAGAUACCACGAAGAACUCCGAUUGCGAAGGCAGCCCGCUGUUGCGUCACUGACGCUGAGGCUCGAAGGUGCGGGUAUCGAACAGGAUUAGAUACCCUGGUAGUCCGCACUGUAAACGAUGGACACCCGCUGUGUGGCCUGUUAUUGGUUGCGCGGCCAAGCGAAAGCAUUAAGUGUCCCACCUGGGGAGUACGCCGGCAACGGUGAAACUCAAAUGAAUCGGCGGGG
rnacentral:rRNA from 1 species